rnacentral:rRNA from 1 species
UACGUAGGGUGCGAGCGUUGUCCGGAAUUACUGGGCGUAAAGGGCGCGUAGGCGGCCAUUCAAGUCGGGGGUGAAAGCCUGUGGCUCAACCACAGAAUUGCCUUCGAUACUGUUUGGCUUGAGUUUGGUAGAGGUUGGUGGAACUGCGAGUGUAGAGGUGAAAUUCGUAGAUAUUCGCAAGAACACCAGUGGCGAAGGCGGCCAACUGGACCAACACUGACGCUGAGGCG